AGGGAUCAUUACUGAGUACUACACUCUCUACCCUUUGUGAACUAUUAUACCUGUUGCUUCGGCGGCGCCCGCGAGGGUGCCCGCCGGUCUCAUCAGAAUCUCUGUUUUCGAACCCGACGAUACUUCUGAGUGUUCUUAGCGAACUGUCAAAACUUUUAACAACGGAUCUCUUGGCUCCAGCAUCGAUGAAGAACGCAGCGAAACGCGAUAUGUAAUGUGAAUUGCAGAAUUCAGUGAAUCAUCGAAUCUUUGAACGCACAUGGCGCCUUCCAGUAUCCUGGGAGGCAUGCCUGUCCGAGCGUCGUUUCAACCCUCGAGCCCCUGUGGCCCGGCGUUGGGGAUCUGCCACGGCAGGCCCCUAAAACCAGUGGCGGACCCGAAGGCCCUCUCCUUUGCGCAGUAGCAUCAGCCUCGCAUUGGGAUCCCUCGGCGUCCUGCCUCUAAACCCCCCACAAGUCCGCUCCGGCGGCACCAAGGUUGACCUCGGAUCAGGUAGGAAUACCCGCUGAACUUAA
rnacentral:sRNA from 1 species